CACACGGAUUCCACAAAUUAAGGGGAACGGGCAGACAGGCUGAAACCGGGAAGCAUACCAAUGCCGAAGACUCUCGAGACCGCUGACACCCAAACAGUCACCAUAGCCCAUAUACAUGCUAAGACUUGACGCAGGAAUACUCGUGACAGUUGGAGGUCACCUAACGACAGACCGUAGUGGGAAGGGCUUGAGACUGACCCAACAAUAACAAGAAUCUGACGGAUACACUCGGCUACCACUAGGGCGAAGUCCAAGGACAGGCCCCACGGUUAUGCAGAGACAGGGGUUGACAUAGACUCAUGGUCUGUUCACAUUCCACAUCUUACAUAAACCUGGCUACAUAGCCUCGACCUGUAAUUCCCUUAACUGACUGAACUCAUAUUGUAAGCCACAAACUUGCCAUGUUAAACAAAUGUUAUUUCUGGACGUUGUAUCCUGAUUGUUAUCCGGGAAAUGAUAAGAAACGAGCACACAUCAGCCGCAGAAAGGUCUAUUCUGCACAGCUACGAGUACGCAAAAAUUUUGGUAGUUACCUUGAUAUCGCACGUUGACUACCUACAUAAGGUAUAAGCAAGAUACCUCGCAAUGUACUAACUAAUGUCUAGGUGAUUAGCAUAACUGCACUUGCACUGUACAUAUGUUUACUACAGGACUCCAAAC